UUCCGGCCGUCUCUCCGCCCGGAAGCCUGUAACACAAAGUCCGUGCGAGUUGCAAGUAUCGCGAGGUUUGAUGUGGCCUGCCCGCCUGGUGUUCAUCUGGCGGCGAGGAGAGAGCCCGGGAGGUGUUCGCGGGCUCUGACCCGCUGUGGUGCAUUAAGGGCCAGCGAGAAGGGUGGCGGCCUGGCGGGAGACCGCCGUGCCCGGGUCGUGGCCUCUGGCUUCUGUUUGCGCUUGGGCGCUUCGUCGUGUCGCCGCCCGCGCGGGCGCUCUGGGAGGCGGCGAUGCCCUCGAUGCUGAGGCGUCGCCGGGCGUACGCGACUGCUGAGGGCGCAGAACCGGCCGCCGGCGCCUGGGCGCAAGGGCCGAGGUGAAACGCUGAAGAUUCGCCGCGUUCUCCGUGUGCCGUCUGAGGCUGCCGGCCGUCUGGAUGAUCCGUGACGGGAAGACGCUAAGCAAAUCAUGAAGCUGCUUUUGUGGGCAUCUUCGGGGCAGCCUGCCACCAACGGGUUAAUGGAGACGGUUUAUCUAACGCUUCUCCAUGCGCUGUACAGUGUUCAUCCAACACGGGGCCCUGCACGUGUCGGAAUGCCCGCCUGGCCCGCACGGCGCUUCCUGGAGCUGGGUCAGCCCGAAUGGGCCUGUGCUGAGUCCAGGGCGCUGUAACAAGCCACCACGGGCUUCGUGGCAGGAGAUGGCACGGGAGUGCUGUCCGACGGACAGCUCGACGGGAGAUCCGUUUCCUGGCCUUCUCCAGCUUCCGGAGGCUGUCCACGUUCCUGGGCUCGUGGCCACCUCCCUCCCCUCUUCAAAGCCAGGGGUGUUGCACGUCCGACCCUUCCGUAAUCACAUCUGCCUCUGAUCGCAGCUGGGAAAGAUUCUUUUAUUUUGAGGGCUCGUGUGAUAAGAUUGGGUCCACCUGAAUAAUCCAGGAUACUCUUCUCGUUUCAAGGGCCCAGGCAUGAGGACAUGGGGACCAGACUGAAGGACAACCUGAGAGAAAGACUCAAUGCUGUACAGCAAAGUACACAGAUCUUAAGUAUACAGCUUGAUGAAUUUUGUAUGAAUACACCAGUGUAACCACCACCCAGAUCAAAAUAUACAACAUUUUCAGCACUCCGGGAGAUUUUCUCAUGCUUCCUCCUAGCUCAAACCUCCCCUCACCCAAAGUUUUCAGCAACUCAAUUGGAGAUCUCAGGAUUGUAAAUUUGGAGAAGAUCAUGAAAGAUGAUUACAUCCAUCCUUCUCAACCAAGGACGCCUGCAUUUGAAAUGAGGAGAGAAUACUCGCUUCCAAAUGCUGCGUCUGAGCACCGCUGGCAGGCACAUCAGCGAUGGAGACAGAUGCCAGCAGCCAGCCAGACCCCCAUGGCAGGGCUGCAUCUAAAGUGGAUCCAGUGUGCAGGUGCCUGAGCUCCAGGUCCCCGGUGAGCAGCUGCCCGAGCUCCAGCUCAGCUGUGGUCUGAGAUCACUUCAUGUGAUUUAAAUGAAAGAAGAGGGCAUGAAGGCUGAGGCAGACGGAUUACACCACAGAGGGGGCCACUGGCUGCUCCAGAUGAAGGUGAGAACAACGCAAGGUUCCCGCCAAAAUGCCCCGGGAAGAAAUUCCCUUCAGAGCCUGAAUCUGGCAAAAACUCCAACACCGUGUUAAUCGCCAUAGCUGGUUAAUCGCCAUAGCUGGAUUCGAUCAUCUGCCCUGGAAAUACACGGGAGGCAGCUGGCUCGGGCACAGCUUUAAAAGUAGAAGUGGUGCACACUGAUCUUAAGUCCUAACUUCGAGUUACUGUGAGACCUCGCAGAAUCUGUGUGCUUUCCUUCCCCAAAUAUGUAAAUGAUAUUUUAACAUGUAUGUGGAUGAAUUUGGCCUGAGAGCUACCUGGAAGAGAGGCGUAUGUUUUACUUUUAGAUAAUUAUUAAUGUUUUGUCAAAUAAUUCUAUUAACACAAUUUCUAGAUAAAUAUUUUGUAAUAAAGACAAGGGGGGGCCGGCCUGGUGGCAUAGUGUUUAAUUUCGUGUGCUCUGCCUUGGUGGCUCAGGGUUUGCGGUUCAGAUCCCUGGCGCGGACCUGCACACCGCUCAUCAGGCCAUGCUGUGCCGCAUACAAAGUAGAGGAAGACUGGCACAUAUGUUACCUCAAGGACAAUCUU
rnacentral:lncRNA from 1 species